UGGAAGUAAAAGUCGUAACAAGGUUUCCGUAGGUGAACCUGCGGAAGGAUCAUUACUGAUUUGCUUAAUUGCACCACAUGUGUUUUUCUUUGAAACAAACUUGCUUUGGCGGUGGGCCCAGCCUGCCGCCAGAGGUCUAAACUUACAACCAAUUUUUUAUCAACUUGUCACACCAGAUUAUUACUAAUAGUCAAAACUUUCAACAACGGAUCUCUUGGUUCUCGCAUCGAUGAAGAACGCAGCGAAAUGCGAUACGUAAUAUGAAUUGCAGAUAUUCGUGAAUCAUCGAAUCUUUGAACGCACAUUGCGCCCUCUGGUAUUCCGGAGGGCAUGCCUGUUUGAGCGUCGUUUCUCCCUCAAACCGCUGGGUUUGGUGUUGAGCAAUACGACUUGGGUUUGCUUGAAAGACGGUAGUGGUAAGGCGGGAUCGCUUUGACAAUGGCUUAGGUCUAACCAAAAACAUUGCUUGCGGCGGUAACGUCCACCACGUAUAUCUUCAAACUUUGACCUCAAAUCAGGUAGGACUACCCGCUGAACUUAAGCAUAUCAAUAAGCGGAGGAA
rnacentral:misc_RNA from 1 species